rfam:Oryza sativa Japonica Group DNA, chromosome 8, cultivar: Nipponbare, complete sequence.
AAUAAGUGCAGUUUUGCACUGUUCAUGUUCAACGUUUGACCGUUCGUCUUAUUUAAAAUUUUUUUUAUGAUUAGUAUUUUUAUUGCUAUUAGAUGAUAAAACAUGAAUAAUAUUUUGUGUGACUAAAUAUUUUUAAAUUUUUUAUAAAUUUUUCAAAUAAGACGGAUGGUCAAACGUUAGUCACGGAUAUCCACCGCUGUACUUAUU